rnacentral:misc_RNA from 1 species
CAGAGUUCGUGCCCUCACGGGUAGAUCUCCCACCCUGUGUUAUUAUACCUUUGUUGCUUUGGCGGGCCGCCCUCGGCUACCGGCCCCGGCUGGUACGCGCCCGCCAGAGGACCCCAAACUCUGAAUGUUAGUGUCGUCUGAGUACUAUACAAUAGUUAA